CCUACGGGAGGCUGCAGUGGGGAAUAUUGCACAAUGGGCGCAAGCCUGAUGCAGCCAUGCCGCGUGUGUGAAGAAGGCCUUUGGGUUGUAAAGCACUUUCAGCGGGGAGGAAGGCGGUGAGGUUAAUAACCUCAUCGAUUGACGUUACCCGCAGAAGAAGCACCGGCUAACUCCGUGCCAGCAGCCGCGGUAAUACGGAGGGUGCAAGCGUUAAUCGGAAUUACUGGGCGUAAAGCGCACGCAGGCGGUCUGUCAAGUCGGAUGUGAAAUCCCCGGGCUCAACCUGGGAACUGCAUUCGAAACUGGCAGGCUAGAGUCUUGUAGAGGGGGGUAGAAUUCCAGGUGUAGCGGUGAAAUGCGUAGAGAUCUGGAGGAGUACCGGUGGCGAAGGCGGCCCCCUGGACAAAGACUGACGCUCAGGUGCGAAAGCGUGGGGAGCAAACAGGAUUAGAUACCCGGGUAGUC
rnacentral:rRNA from 1 species